rnacentral:rRNA from 1 species
CCUCUUCGGAGGUCAGCGGCGGACGGGUGAGGAACACGUGGGUAAUCUGCCUUUCAGACCGGAAUAACGCCCGGAAACGGGCGCUAAUGCCGGAUACGCCCGCGAGGAGGCAUCUUCUUGCGGGGAAAGGCCCAAAGGGGCCGCUGAGAGAGGAGCCCGCGGCGCAUUAGCUGGUUGGCGGGGUAACGGCCCACCAAGGCGACGAUGCGUAGCCGACCUGAGAGGGUGACCGGCCACACUGGGACUGAGACACGGCCCAGACUCCUACGGGAGGCAGCAGUAGGGAAUCUUCCGCAAUGGGCGCAAGCCUGACGGAGCAACGCCGCGUGAGCGAAGAAGGCCUUCGGGUUGUAAAGCUCUGUUGCUCGGGGAGAGCGGCAUGGGGAGUGGAAAGCCCCAUGCGAGACGGUACCGAGUGAGGAAGCCCCGGCUAACUACGUGCCAGCAGCCGCGGUAAAACGUAGGGGGCGAGCGUUGUCCGGAAUCACUGGGCGUAAAGGGUGCGUAGGCGGUCGAGCAAGUCUGGAGUGAAAGUCCAUGGCUCAACCAUGGGAUGGCUCUGGAAACUGCUUGACUUGAGUGCUGGAGAGGCAAGGGGAAUUCCACGUGUAGCGGUGAAAUGCGUAGAGAUGUGGAGGAAUACCAGUGGCGAAGGCGCCUUGCUGGACAGUGACUGACGCUGAGGCACGAAAGCGUGGG